rnacentral:lncRNA from 1 species
UAUUGUAUUGAUAACUUACAAUAAUAGUAUAUAAUUAUUUUAGACAACGUACGUUAGCUGCCACUCGAGUAUCCCAGUCAACUUACAGAAGAGUGGUCCAAGAGUCAGAAUAUAUAGAAAAUAUACCUUCCUAUUCCUUUACGAGUCCAAGGAAAAAAAGGUUAAGAAAAUCUCAGAAGAUUGGUAACAUUACUUUGACCCAAAUUAAAGAUAUAAAACAAAUAGUGUAUGAUUUCUACAUAUUUGAAAAAAGAAGACCUACUCUAAAAUAUGGACCAAAACGGACGAUAACAGAAAAGCUCUUAUGGAAUCUUACGACAUACGAUUGAAAAGGAUCAAAUAUUUAAAGCAAAUUUUAAAAUAUAAAGAGGAAGGCCGUAAUAUUGUAUAUACUGAUAAAAGUUACAUACAUAGCAGUCAUACAAAGGACAAAGGGUGGUUUGAUGAAAGUCGACAUGGAAUUAGAAAACCCAUUUCCAAAGGACAGAGACUGAUAAUUCUUCAUGCUGGGGGAAGAAAUGGUUUCGUAAAUAAUGGGUUACUGAUUUUUCGCUCAGGGUCAAAAAACGGAGACUAUCAUGAUGAUAUGAACCAUCACAACUUCAUGAAAUGGGCCGAAAAUCAGUUAAUUCCAAAUUUACUACCUAAUUCCGUCCUAGUAUUAGACAAUGCAGCUUAUCACAAUGUGCCUGUAGUCAAGAAUGUUACAUCUGGAAGUAAAAAGCAGGAAAUAGUUGACUGGCUCAAGGAACGUAAUUUUACAUUUGAUGCAAAACUCACCAAGACAGAGUUAUAUGAAAUAGUGUCUGAAAAUAAAAAAAAAGUAUCCUGUAAAAACCAAGUUGGACGACCUAAUGGAAAAGCAUGGACACAUUGUAUUACGUUUGCCUCCAUACCACCCAGAGCUUAAUCCAAUAGAAAAAAUUUGGGCAACUGUUAAGAAUUGGGUGGCAAGCAGAAAUUCCACUUUUAAAUUGGCGGAUGUCGAAACUUUGACAAGGCAGAAAUUUCGAAUGAUGAGUGGAUAAAUAUUUGCAACCAUAUAGACAACAUAGAAAAACAAUAUUUCGAAAGUCAUCGCCUUUUUGAUGAAGCAUUGGAUUUUUUAAAAUUUACAGUAAAUACAGGCUCAUCUGAUGAAGAGAUCGAAUGGUCUUCAUCGGAUGAAUCUGAUUUAGGUUAUAAUACACUAUCUGAUAGUGAAUAAAAAUAUAUAAUAUGUAAAAUAAUGAAAUAAAACUUUAAGCUUAUACCAAUUUGUUUCUUUACACAAGUCGU